GAAAAGGAGAGGGAAGGGAAGCGAAGGGGAGGGAAGGGAAGGGAAGGGAAGGGAAGGGAAGGGAAGGAGAGGGAACAAAAGGGAAGGGAAGGAAAUGUACAGGAUGAAGAGGGAAGGGAAGGGAAGGAGAGGAAACAGAAGGGAAGGAGGUGUGAAUGAAAGGAGAGGGAAGGGAAGGGAAGCGAAGGGAAGGGAAGCAAAGGGAAGGGAAGGAGAGGGAACAAAAGGGAAGGGAAGGAAAUGUACAGGAUGAAGAGGGAAGGGAAGGGAAGGGAAGGAGAGGGAACAAAAGGGAAGGGAAGGAAAAGUACAGGAUGAAGAGGGAAUGGAAUGGAAGGGAAUGGAAGGGAAGGGAAUGGAAGGGAAGGGAAGGGACUGAACACACACCAAGCACCUCAAGACACAGCUAGCGGGACGACCGGGUGACCAAGACCAAGAAAUACUCGCAUGUUUGGGUUGGCUAUCACAGACGACGACGGAACGAGAAAAAAAAAUAAUAAUAAAAAAAAAAAAAAAAAAAAAAAAAAACUAUGAGUACACGAACGUUAACCUAAAAAUACCUUGGCGUCUUGUUUUCCUUCUUUUUUUUUCCUAGAUAUUUUCCUUUUUUUUCCGUUCUUAAAGUCGGAUGUAUAAAAAAUUAGUCUUCGGUAUUAAACUUUUUUUGCUCCUUUAUUUUCCUAGAUAUUUUCCUCUUUUUUUCCUUUAAGUUGAUAUAAAAAAUUAGUCUUUGGAAUUAUAGUUUUUUCUCCUUUAUUUUCCUAGAUAUUUUCCUCUUUUUUUCCCUUCAAGUCGAUAUAAAAAAUUUGUCUUCAGAAUAAUACCUUUUUUUCCUAGAUAUUUUCCUCAUUUUUUCCUUCAAGUCGAUAUAUUUUGGGAUAAUAGUUUUUUCCUUUAUUUUCCAAGUUUUUUCCUCAAUUUUCUUCGUCGGAAAUUCGCAUAGACCUUUCUUCCUUGUUCUCUAAUUUUUUCCUCACUUUUUUCAAUGACUCAAAAACGUGAAAAAUACAACAUUAUGUAAAUUCCUAGGCCCCAAACUACCUUUCCAUAAUUUUUCCUCGACUUGGAAAUUAGAAAACGUACAUUAUGUGAAUUCUUACAGGCCCUAAAAUACCCUUCCCUCAUCUCUCUUUCUUCCCUUUUUCUAGAUUCUUCCUCGCUUUUUUCUACGACUCGAAAACGUAAACAAUACAACAUUACGUGAACUCGUAUUGGCCACAAACUACCCUUCCUUUAUAUCUCUUUCUUCCUGUUUCCCUAAUUUCUUCCUCACUUUUUUUCUACGACUCAAAAAUGCGAAAAGUACAACGUUACAUAAAUUCCAACACCACAAACUACCUUCCGAUAAUUUUUCCUCGACUUGGGAAUUAGAAAAGUACAUUAUGUGAAUUUUUACAGGGCCCUAAAAUACCCUUCUGUUACCUCUCUUUCUUCCUUUUUCUCUAAUUUCUUCCUCACUUUUUUUCUACGCCUCAAAAACGCGAAAAGUACAACAUUACAUAAAUUCUUAGACCACAAACUACCUUCCGAUAAUUUUUCCACAGCUUGGGAAUUAGAAAAGUACAUUAUGUGAAUUUUUACAUGGCCCUAAAAUACCCUUCCUUCUUUCCUUACAGUAUUUUAACCUCUCUCUCUCUCGUAACAAAAUCUCUCCUUUUUUCACAGAUUCUUCCUCGCUUUUUUUCUACGCCUCAAGAACGCGAAAAAUACAGCAUUACAUGAAUUCCUAAACCCUAAACGACCUUCCAAUACUUUUUCUUUGACUUGGAAAUUAGAAACGUAUGUUAUGUGUCCUGAAGUACCCUCCCUUCUUUCCUUUCAAUACAUGUUUUAAUCUCUCUCUCGUAACAAAGUCUCUGGGUCUAUAUAACAACAGUGCUUAUGUACGUGAUGGAAUGCGAUGGUCAUGACAGGUAUAUAUAUUAAAAUCAGUGAAAUUAGAUGUAUUCGAUUGCGUGUUGCGAUGUAUAUAGCGACCCUGAGACACAGACUGAUUGAGAAACAUGUGAAAUAAUAAUAAUAAUAAUAAUAAUAAUAAUAAUGAGAAUUGUAAACACUUGGGCCCGAUUGAAAAGGACAGGGCAUUCAUUCAUCUGACAUAAAUAGCGAUGUCGGAUAAAUACUGAAUCCAUGUACCUUGAUAAUGAUAAUCUCAAACAUUUGGGGCCAAUUGAAAAGGACAGGGCAUUCAUUCAUCUUUCUAAUUACAGACAGAAAUAGCAAUCUGUCGGAUAAAUACUGAAUCCAUGUACCUUGAUAAUGAUAAGCGUAAACAUUUGGGGCCAAUUGAAAAGGACAGGGCAUUCAUUCAUCUUUCUAAUUAGAGACAGAAAUUGCAAUCUGUCGGCUAAAUACUGAAUCCAUGUACCUUGAGGAGAUGGUAGUUAAUUAUAAUAUGCUUAAGAUGUAUUUACCUCCUUGGAAAUGCUCUCUAUAAAUGCUCUUAAUGAUAUCUACAACCAAAGGUACAGAAAAAUGGUAUCUGAAUCCAUGUACCUUGAGAUAUAGUUAAUCCUAAUAUGCUUAAGAUGUAAUUACCUCCUUGGAAAUGGUUCUGUCUCAAUGCUCUUAGUGAUAUCGACAACCAAGGUUACAGAAAAAUGGUAUCUGAAUCCAUGUACCUUGAGAUAUAGUUAAUCCUAUAUGCUUAAGAUGUAAUUACCUCCUUGGAAAUGGUUCUGUCUCAAUGCUCUUAGUGAUAUCGACAACCAAGGUUAUGGAAAAAUGUUACCAGAAAAAAUUACAGCAUAUAAUAAUCGUAAUAAUAAUGGUAAUAGUAUUCAUAAGCUGUAAUCAUGGUGGACAUUUCCUGUAGCUUAUUUAUCUAGUAAUAACAACAAUCAAUGGUCUGAAAAUGUAUAAGAAAUAGAAGGAAAAUUACAAUAUAUAAUGAUAAUAAUAAUAAUGGGAAUAUUUUUAGUAACAAUGAUGAAAGCUCUCUCAAAGUUGAUGGUUGUUUUUCCUUAAGUUAUGAACAAGACAGCGACUGCAAUGAAGAAAAUAAAAAUAAACAUAAAGAAAAUAAAAAUGACACUAUAUAUAACCUCUCAUAAAAGAUACACUUGAAAAAAAAAAAGUUACCGAUCUCUCUAAGUUGAUGGUUGUUUUUCCUUAAGUUAUGAAUAAGACAGCGACUGCAAUGAAGAAGAAAAUAAACAUAAAGAAAAUAAAAAUGACACUAUAUAUAACCUCUCAUAAAAGACACACUCGAAAAAAAAAGAAGUUACCAAUCUCUCAAAGUUGAUGGUUGUUUUUCCUUAAGUUAUGAAUAAGAUAGCAACUGUAUUUAAGAAGAAAAUAAAAAUAAACAAAGAAAAUGAAAAUUACACUAUAUAUAACCUCUCAUAAAAGACACACUUGAAAAAAAAAAGUUACCGAUCUCUCUCAGUUGAUGGUUGUUUUUCCUUAAGUUAUGAAUAAGAUAGCGACUGCACUGAAGAAAAAAAUAAAGAUAAAGAAAAUAAAAAUGACAUCAUACAUAACCUC